GUUACACUAUUUUCUCACCAGUUCUUCUCUCUCAAUUCCUUAGCUAAGAUACUUCUAAAGCCUCCAAAGUACAAACUCUAAUGGGAAUAUAUGCUAGUAAUAAUGCAGCAAGACAAAAAAUCAAUGUAACAGUAAAAUGUUCUAUUAGAUAAGACUGUUUAUGGUGGAUAAAGAAGAACAACCAUUAUCUGUGAAAUGGGUCCUUAUAUAUAUCGAAGUAUUUGGGCCUUUCUCUCGCAUAUGUCUCAAAAGAACAGCGUCCAAACUAUUGUCUUCAAAUCCAUCUCCUGUUUUGUCAAUGUAUUGGACCAGACCGCAUGUAUCCUUUCAUUAUAUGCAACUUUCACUGUCUCUUUUGACUAUCUAAAGCUGCUAUUCCUUCCAUUAUUAUCUCGUUGGAUCUUGUGUCAACUUAACACUGCAGCUACCUGCAGGAUAAACUUACCCAAGAAAACACUCCUUGAAGCUUCAAAUUAAUCUGAUUCUACGAUGACCUUUUCCUAGUUUGUGCAACAUAUUUUUUAGUGAAAAGAAGAAAGGAAUCCUUCUGUGUUAAUAUUCUUUGUAUUCUCAUUCUAGGGUUUCAUUUUUUUUUUUUACACUUUAAGAUGAGUUCUAGCUAGAGAGAAGUUGUAGAUCAUUAAUCUUUUUCUUCUCCUCUCGAUCCCUUUAGAUUUAGCACAAUAAUUAUAAUAGUUCUUGCUUAGAUUUAUGACUCUACAAAUAGGUAUUCAAUCGAAAAUAUGAACUUAUAAAGAGAGUUCAUAAGUUCAUACAGCAUUAAAAUUAUUAGGAGGAAAAAAGAAAAGAACAGAAAGGAAAAUUGUCCUAGAAUUGAUGACCAGACACCGCAGAAGCAAAAAUUACGAAACCAAACGUAGGAUCAUAACUUCAGUAAACACAUGAACAUAAAAGGACUGUCUUCUAGCAAACACUUGAAAACUUAGGACAAGUUUUGCUCUCACCUGGGAUAAAAGCUCGAAGCUUUGUUUAUUUCUCUUGAGAAGAGGGGGCGCUUGUUUCUAUUGAUUUGCAAUUUUUGUUUGUAAUUUCAUGUCAUUUACAAGGAAACUCCUGGUCCUUAUCUGUUUGAUGACUUCCACUACUGUGGGGAUGGAAAAGCCUGGGAGUUGCACUGAAAUGGAAAGGUCUAGCAGAUUGGUUCAUAGGAUAAGGACUUGGAGCGAGGGAAUUUGGAAAGAGAUUUUGAGUGCUUGAGGUCAACAUCUGAAAGUGGUUCGUUUGUCUUGGAUCAAUCUCCGUUGAAGCUGCUGUAACAUGUGAAGGGAAAUAAGGUUGUGCUGUUCCAGGUGGACACACCAAAAUUUGAGAUCCAGAUGAUAGAGACAAAGUAGAUGGUAAUGGCACAGCAUUUAGGUUGUGUAGAUCAUCCGUUUGGGCAGCAAAUCCAUGGCUUCCCAAACGAGAUAAGGGACAAUUUGUGUGUUCUAAUUGAAGGAAGGAACCAUAUGGCAUCGUAUUAUUUAUCAAACUCGGUAAGGAAGAAUGACUAACUCUUGGGAAGAAACUACUUGAUGGAACUUGAUGAGCACUACUAUGCCCUUCACUGCUUUCCUGUUUAUCAUCUUCUUGACCAUUUCUUUUUGUCCAGUUUUCUUUCUCAUGGACAGAAUCCCUUGCAACUUCUUUUGACUUGGCCUUCAAAAUUGAAUCACUGCUCCAAAAAUUUGGUCUUGUUAAUCCGCCUGGAUCUUCCCAAUUGAUGCUGCUAUUCGUCUUGAACCCUUCUUUCUUAGAUUGGGAAGCAUCCAAUUCAUGAGAAGAAGUUAGAAUUGCUUGAUGAUUCCGGCCAAAGUUCACUGGUUGCAUUGGAAGUGGAGGGAGUUCAUCAAUUUCAUGCUUUGCUGCAUUAAGCAACCAGUCAACAACUUUGCUUGGCUGAUUAAGUCCAAGCCUAUCUUGAAGAUCGUACAAUUGGAUAGCUGUGGGAACUGAAAGCCUUACUCUCCUGUCCCUUAACCCCCUUAUGGUGCAAACUUUGCUAUGCCUAUCUUUUCCUCCAAAAGCACGCGAGACACGAACAAUUCUUGGAUCUUUCAAUCUUAACCAUGGCGUUGAACUAGAAGAAGCCUUGGUAAUCUUGCCAUCACUUGUGUCUCCCUCCUUUUUUGUUGGAGAAUCCACUUCUUUUGAACUAGCAAUCAUCAUACAUUUCUCAUCGUUGGUGCAUGGGUAACUGAACCAGUAGAAUUAUGGUAUAAAGUUUCUUGAUGCGGUAUUCAUCAUGAUUAUAUAUCUGCUUCAGAUCCAUCAAAAGAAGAAAAUGAAAAGCAAGAAAUCUGAUAAAUAUAACACUAGACAUCUAUCCAAACCCCAAUUUCCCCACAUUUAAGACAAGGCAAAUGAAGAAAAUGGAGAAAAGGAGAUCUUGAUCAGACAAGACUAUAGUUCACAAUUAGAAGGAAAAUUCAAGAAACAUAAUAAUGGAUGAAGCAUAGUCAGUAUCUAGUAUUUUAUGGGAUUUGAACUUGAAUUGAUUAGUAGCCCCGAAGAACCCUUCUGAUAAUUCUGAACCAAUCAAGUUUUGAAAGGGAAAACAUCAAUCAUAAGGAUAAUAGAUGUUUAUCAAAGAGAUAAAUAUAAUGAAAAGUUAUAGAACAAGUACAGUGGAAAAAAUAUUUUGGAAAGAAGGAAAAGUCUGUAACUGAUUAAAGACAGCAUAUGCAUACAAGAUUUAGGAUCUGUGUAUCGAUUGGACUUACAGUGUAUAUAAAGGUAUAGAUCCUGCACUGCCUUUGGUAGUACCCUUCUGAAUUUUGCUAUUGAAUUCAAUCAAUAGCUGCAUACAAGUUUGAGAGCUAAGCAGUUUGCUUUAAGUGCAGAGAAUAAACUUAUUGGUGAGGUUAAACAAUUUGAGAAAGGAAGAUGCCGG
rnacentral:misc_RNA from 1 species